UACAGAGGGGGCAAGCGUUAUUCGGAAUUACUGGGCGUAAAGGGCGCGUAGGCGGCCUGCUAAGUCGAACGUGAAAUCCCUGGGCUCAACCCAGGAACUGCGUCCGAUACUGGUUGGCUUGAAUCCGGGAGAGGGAUGUGGAAUUCCAGGUGUAGCGGUGAAAUGCGUAGAUAUCUGGAGGAACACCGGUGGCGAAGGCGACAUCCUGGACCGGUAUUGACGCUGAGGCGCGAAAGCCAGGGGAGCAAACGGG
rnacentral:rRNA from 1 species